rnacentral:lncRNA from 1 species
CAUCCGAACACGAAAUUGAGCUGUGCUUAUUACAAGGUGAUCGUGACGACAUGCUCAAUGCAAUUCAGUGAAGAAAUCAAAGGAAAACAUCAAGAAACAAGCACACUAUUGAUCAGAAGUUUUCAAGAUGUAUACAAAUUUUGAGUCACAUGAUCGUGGCCUAAAAAUGCGAUCCAUGGCUCGAAGCUGAUAUCAAAUCGAUAAUCAUACCGAACCCGACAAGAAAUAAAUCACCUUUCGGUCAUACGGAUGCCAGAGCAAUCUUGAAUUUUCCAUGAAGAAUCAGGCAAGUUCUAGCGCAGCAACAAGGACUGUUUUGGAAUUUCAUUUAUUGUUGGGUAAUAGCAAAACAGUUCUUUUGCAGCCAAUUUUAGAAUUUCUUUUAAUUCAAUUAAAUUGUAAUUAUCAACAAUUUAAGUAGUUUUUUAGCGUACACCUAUGUUUGGG